rnacentral:tRNA from 1 species
GCCAUGGUGGCUCAGUCGGUUGAGCUCCUGACUUCAGCUCAGGUCAUGAUCUCAUGGUU